GGAUCAACGGCAGAGUCUUAUUUUUUGUUUAGCAGAACAAAUCUGAAUGUUUCCUUCGACAAAGGAAAGAUGGCGAGCAAUAAAACCAUUCAUCCUUAUAGUGACUGUGGUGCUCUGGAAUAGUGGCACCAUUAUUCCUGCCCAGAGUGUUACCCACUGUUGGACGUCAGUCUGGAUCCAAACACAUGCAUCCACUUUUUCCUGUUCUUCACCCUUGUCAUCUGGAAUGGCGACACACUUUUGUGCGCUCAGGUCAGGAUGAGGAGAAAACAACUUUACAAGAGCUCCUAGAACAGCCAGAGAAAAAUCACUCAACUUCUUUUGGGACAGAUGCACCUGCAUGAAUCCAUUCGGUCGGCCUUGUCAUGUUUCUCUGACAACCUUUGCACCACUGGGAGACUGCCGUGCUGUGUCAGAACACCCUGAUACACGACAAUAUGGGCGGGUAUCCAUUUGGCCUUGUCAGUUUUCUUACAACUGAUCCACUUGCAUCAAAACAUACUGUCUGGGUGGCCAAAUUGGGCAGAAGAGUUGGCUCUGGAUCUCCCAAGUCCUUAAGAUUUUGUGCCUGUGAUGCCCUCCAGACAUUUGUUUGCAUCCUGCCCUCGCACAGUUCUGGGGCACACGCAAGUAUCCAGACCAAAAAGGUUUUAAACAGCCUAGUGUGCAGGGAGUCAUCUGUGUUUUUGAUGCAGCAUUUGAACACCACUAGGCUAUUAAUUGUAGGCUCUCUGUCACAUGUUAAAUGGACAUGAACGUGACACUCCUUGCAGUAGCCUUUUAUGUCAAUGUAAUUGCUGGCGAUUAAUAGAUUGGCUCUUUUAAAAACAAACGUAUAGGGACUCUUCACCGCCUUCCAAAUGUGCUCAUUAAUACCAUGAGUUCAGGUGCCAGGCUUCAACAUUGUAUAUUCCCUUUUUUAUUUUUGCUUGAUACUGUUUGUCUUUGUA